rnacentral:rRNA from 1 species
GACGUAGGAUGCGAGCGUUGUUCGGAUUUAUUGGGCGUAAAGCGUACGUAGGCGGCUAUCUAAGUCUGGUGUUAAAGCUAGGGGCUCAACCCCUGUGAUGCACUGGAAACUGGGUAGCUUGAGUGCGGUAGGGGAAGGUGGAAUUCCGAGUGUAGCGGUGAAAUGCGUAGAUAUUGGGAAGAACACCGGUGGCGAAGGCGGCUCACUGGCCCGUAACUGACGCUCAUGCACGACAGCGUGGGGAUCAAACAGG